rnacentral:lncRNA from 1 species
CUCUCUGUGUCCUUUCCCUAGGGUGAGGGUGGUGUUUAGGAAAUGUGCAGUAGAAGUUUCUCUGAACCCUAAUCGGUCCCAGUGAUAUAGGACCUCCAAAUGAUACAGGGGCAAUAAUAUGACUUCCAACCUCCUAGAUGUUAAAUACACCAAGUUCGUGGUCUCCAAAAUCGAAGAAUGAGUUCUUAGGUACAGCAGAGGUUAAGAGUAGGAAAUAUUUAUUGACAAGGAGAGGUUUUAGCUCCUGAGAGACAAGAGGGGACCUGAAUGGGUGGCUGCGGAUUCCACUUGACAGAAGAAAUUUUAUACAGCAGAAUCAUGAGAAACUAUGACCUUUGGAGCUGGCCCCUGCCCUGUGGUCUCAGUCCAGGAUCCAGCACUCCCAGUGUCUCCAUCUGGGGCUGACAAUGGCACUCAAGCUCUUGGACCCUUGAUUUAGUGCUGUCCCCAGGUCCUUUGCUUUGCUGUACAAAUGUAUAGGUGUGUGUGUGGGGGGGCAAUGCAAGUGGUUUAACUUCCUACUGACGUCUUUAGAAUAAAUAAUUACUCUCCUUAUAAACAUUCUUUUAAAAGAAGGUUUUUGAGGUCAAUUAUUAAGUUCUUCAACUCUGUUCUCUUCUAAGACAAAGAACACCAAUUAAAAUCAUAGAAAUGAUUCAAGAGUGUUAUCUAAAGUUGGUAAGUUAUUCAAGCUAUGAUGAUAGCAUUUAAAAAAUACUUUAAGUAAGAAGUUGUAUACCUGUAACCUCAGCACUUUGGGAGACUGAGGGAGGAGGUUUGCAAAUUCAAGACUAGCCUGGGCAACUUGGCAAUUUAGUGAGACCCUGUCACAAAAUAAAACCAGAACAAGAAAAA